UGAUGCUUAUUUCAGCAACACAGUACUAGAACUGUAACAAUACAGAGAAGUUUAGCAAGUUUCCAGAAUUAGGGUGCUUUGCAAAUUCAUGAAAUGUUUGAUGUUUUA